AUUGGUACUAAGUGGUUGCAUAGCUGUGACUAGGGCUAUGACUAAAUCAAAUGCCAGCUUAUUACAAGACAUAAGGAAUCCAUUAAAGUGGCUCAAGCAUGAAUUUCACAUAGAAUUGUGGCUCUGCAGAUGGUGAAGAAUCCUAAGAAUGCAUCAGCAGGUAGCUAUAGCACAGAUGAGAGAAUGGGAGUGGACAGUCUAUGAACAGGAGCAAGAUUGAAGAGUCGCUAACUGCAGCAUUGAUAGGACAUGAGGAAGGCCAUAGGUUUUAAAUCAGAAGAUAACAGGCGAAAGCUAAUGACACUAGAAGUGAGAUUAACUGAGAUUAAUUUCUCCAACUUCCGUUUUGCUACCUUCACUUCAAUUGUUAACAAGCAAUUUCCAUCAGCUUUAGUGUGAAAUGGAUCAGCCAAUAUGAAUGCAUAUUGUGAAUGACUCACCCUGUAUCAACUGUCUAUACAUGAGUAAAGCCACAUGUCCCCACACUGCUGAUAGUCUUUAUUAUGGGCUUUCUUUAAGACUCUUGCCAUCGGUUGCUGUUUUUCCACCAAAUCUGAAAGAUCCUUAGAAUGAGUCACAGAAGCAACUGCCCGGGCUUCACCGACUGCAAUCCAUUGGAUGCAGGCAGUUAACUGACAUCGGAGAAAGGGCCAAGAGAACCGGGUUUACUUAUCAUGGACACGAAAAGAUGGAUGGCAACUGUGCAGAAGAUAAAGCCAGGCUUUUCUCAGAGGUGCACUAAGAGAGAAUGACGCAACAGAUGCAACUGGAAAUUCUGCUGGAAAUACCUGGAUUAGCACUGGAAAAUGUUGUCUGUAGAACCUCCAGUGUAGGGGAUUUUCAAAACUCAGCUGAACAAGGUUGUGAACAACCUGAUCUACAGUUGGAGUUCAUCCUGCUUUGAGCAGGAGGUUGGACUUGGUCUUGGUGGCUUUCAGAGGUCCCAGAGGGAUAUUUAUAAAUAAACAGCAGCAGAAUGACUAACAGAUUAGAAAGAAGAGCUUUUGUUACAGACAACAUCGCUGCAAAUAAUAUUAACUUCACACACUAAUAUAGUGCAAGUUACUUUAAACAAGUAUGACACUGUCAGACAUACAGGCCCAUUAAAACAUUGGAACUCUUGCUAGUACAUUUGCUAAUAAUCUUGUACACUGGACUUAUUUCAACUCAUUAGAAGCUUUAUAAGCUCAUUUUUAUAAUAUUUAUAACUAUACUUCAUGGAAAAAAAAAUGGACUACACUUCUGGAAGAAAAAGAUAAUCUGAGAAUUAAUUAAAAAAUAAAUCUUUUUAACUAUUAAAAAAAAAAAAAAGAAGUUUAACAAAAGCUAAAGAAUGUCUUAAAGAUAGACCUUGAUCAAUCCUUCACUUCAGCUGUGUUAGGUCUCUUGACAAUAAUUUGCUUUAGUUCUGAUGAGAGGUCCAUCUAAAAGUGUGUGGGCAAGCUGAGUAGUUUAGAGACACUUCAGAUAUGUUCAGAAAUGUUCAUAACCAAAGCACAGGCUUUCAGGAUACUGUUCUGCCCUGGUAUCUCUGUUUAUUCAUUACAAGUGUGAGUAUGUUACCAAUGAAAUAUAACUAGUUCUGUGCAACACCUUAAACCACUUUUUUCAUCUUUGCUCAAAUUGUGUCCUCCUGAAAUUUUGAUACAGCGACUUUCUUCUCAUGUGGUAAAAGUUGUAUCAUAUAAUAUUAUCAAUUACAUUCCCAAAUUGUAACAAAAUGAAUUCUGGAUGUAUUACACAUCCAAUAAAAAG
ensembl:lncRNA